rnacentral:rRNA from 1 species
UGUCUCAGUGCAGCCGUACGCGCUCGCGCGUUUAGGUGAAACCGCGAAAGGCUCAUUAAAUCAGUUAUGGUUCCUUGGAUCGUACCAUUUAGUUACUUGGAUAACUGUGGUAAUUCUAGAGCUAAUACAUGCCGACAGAGUUCCGACCGCCUCAUCAGCGGGAGGAACGCUUUUAUUAGAUCAAAACCAUGCGGCGUCGCGGCUCCGGUCGUGCGCCGUCAACAUGCGGUCCUCACGGACCGUUCAAGUGGUGACUCUGAAUAACUUUGAGCUGAUCGCACGGCCUCAGUGCUGGCGAUGCAUCUUUCAAAUGUCUGCCUUAUCAACUGUCGAUGGUAGGUUAUAUGCCUCCCAUGGUGUUAACGGGUGACGGGGGAUCAGGGUUCGAUCCCGGAGAGGGAGCCUGAGAAACGGCUACCACCUCUAAGGAGGGCAGCAGGCACGCAAAUUACCCACUCCCAGCUCAGGGGAGGUAGUGACGAAAUAUAACGAUACGGGACUCAUCCGAGGCCUCGUAAUCGGAAUGAGUACACUUUAAAA